UGAAGGCAGUUGUUCAACCAGACUGUAUUUAACAAGGCUUUCGGAGACUCCGUGCCAAGGAUCCCCUUCUCCCAGAGCAGAUCGAUGUCGGUAUCACUCAGCGGAUGGGCCUCCCUAGGACGGUUUCCCAUACCCUAAAUUGGUGUCCCUUGUGAGUGCAAAUUGGGCUCCAGUCCCUGUCAUGACUGAACAUCCAUAGCGAUGUCGUUUCAGGUACCUGUCAACACUAGCAAUGAUGCCACGGAGGGAGCUUGGUUCAAAAUCUGUGCCAUUUGACUUUUUAAGGGACAACAGGAAAGUGGCCAAAUACUCAUCAAGAAGAGUUGGUUCUAUGUGGUGGAUUUCUUUUGAUUCAGCUUUUGACAUAAGAAACCUUUUAAAUUUGUUUAUGUCAGACAAGGUCUUCGAUAAAGUCUUUUUAUUUUCAUUUUGGACAAUGAAAUCACCAACAUCAGUGAGGUUAACAUCUAAGAACUCUUUAUUCUCAUGCAGAUCUAAAGUUGGGGGGAAGACAUUGCUACUGGAUGGUGCGUUACUACUGGGGCUGGUUUCAUUCUCAAUGGUCAAUUCAAUUUCAUUUGUGAACAAAAUAGAUGGAUCAAACCCAUAUUGUUCCUGGAACUGGCUUAGUGUUAAUUCCACUUCAGUUGCUUUUUGCUCAUGUUCAUUAUUUAUUUCAUCCCAAGUUAAUGAGAAAUUGACUUUGUCAAAUUCGUCAGACAUUUUGAGGGGUUUACGAUUUCGCAGACGAUUGUGUUCUAUAGUCAAAGGGGAGCAACUCGAACUGACUUCUUCAAAGGGGAGCAACAACAACAGAACCUAUUUGCAACAUAGUGUUAAAUUUACAUAAUACUAGAGGUUUUAAUAAAAAUAAAUGACAAAAAACACG